rnacentral:lncRNA from 1 species
AGCACUAUUGAAGAGAGCAAGUCAGGGGAACAUUCCAGCUCAGUUCCAGCUUGGUUUCAUCAUGCCUACAACUAAUGGUCAUUCUGAGAGGAGAUAGAAUCUCAUUGUGGCUUGUAUUUGCAUUUCCCUGGGCUAAAGGUGAAAUGAAAACAUAGACGUUGUCAUCAUGAAUAGUCCUCCUGAUCCUGAUUGUCACCGAAAAUAAUUCCCAAGACAGAUGAAGAGGCAUUCCGGUUCAGACUCCGCCCAUCCAUCCAUCUGCCCCACCCUUCAUUCUUGCUUCGUUUCCAAAGAAGAGAAGGAGGAAGAGAGAAGGGAUCGUGCAGAGGCCUGGGCACGCACGGGUCCCCUCUGGCAGUGGGCAGAGCCACAGGGCAGAAGCAAGUUGUCUUCCUGCCCAGCUUCAAAUGCAGCCGGAGAGAGGAGCUAGCUGGGAACUUGAACAUCUGCAGGAAGCCUGGAUACUUCUCUCUCUCUUUCUUCUCCCAUGUGGUAGGCAGGGCUUCCUCUUUGCCUCUGAGUUUCUGGAUGGGGUCAGAGGCUGAGGACUAAAGGCUGCCCAGUGGUGGUAGUGACAAAGUCAGCACUUCCCUUUGUUAGCCUUUGGAUGCUGUGACAAAGCCCCAGAGACCUGACUUGGAGGAGUAAGGUCAAGGUUGGCUAGAUCCAUUGCUUUUAGGUGUGGGACGAUGCUAAACAUCAGGACACCUGGACCAUCUGGUAGAGGAUGCUGCUGCCAUUGUGGUAGCUAGGAAACAGGAAGACAGAAGGAAGACAGGAGGCAAGGAUGUUCUUCAAGAGCAUGCUCUCUGUGACCGUCUUCUCCAAGUAGUCUGCAUCUCUGAGCUCCUAACACCUCCCCCUAGUGCUGUUGAAUGAUGGGUAUAUCCAUGCAACCACUGAUUAGGUCAGGGCCUCCAUGGCUUGCUCAUCUCUCAACAGUGUCACCAGCUAGGGUCUGCUCCUUCAAUACUGGGACCUUUCAGAGAGCACAUGUAGUGACCAUCUUAACACCACCAAAACUUUGCUCUCAUUCCUUCUUGUCUCCAGAGUGCUUGAACCAACAGAGGCAUCAAGGAGUCAUUUCCUGUUACAUAGAAGGACAUCAUAUUUUCUUAGGAUUUUUCUUUACCCUCAGCUAGUUUUGUAGGCAAAGAUAAUAACCCUCUGUUUCAUUGAGUGCUUCGAUUUUUUUUUAUAUCAUAAGUAGGUUGCUGAUACACUAUGUGUUGACUAAUCAUAUCUCUUCUUUUGUGAAUUACAUUCAUGGCUUUAGCUCACUUUGGAGUUUUAAGUUAGAUUUUAAUGUCUUCAAUAAAAAUAUACUCAUCUGC